UGGGGAAUAUUGGACAAUGGGGGGAACCCUGAUCCAGCCAUGCCGCGUGUGUGAAGAAGGCCUUUUGGUUGUAAAGCACUUUAAGCGAGGAGGAGGCUCUUCUAGUUAAUACCUAGGAUGAGUGGACGUUACUCGCAGAAUAAGCACCGGCUAACUCUGUGCCAGCAGCCGCGGUAAUACAGAGGGUGCGAGCGUUAAUCGGAUUUACUGGGCGUAAAGCGUGCGUAGGCGGCUAAUUGAGUCGGAUGUGAAAUCCCCGAGCUUAACUUGGGAAUUGCAUUCGAUACUGGUUAGCUAGAGUGUGGGAGAGGAUGGUAGAAUUCCAGGUGUAGCGGUGAAAUGCGUAGAGAUCUGGAGGAAUACCGAUGGCGAAGGCAGCCAUCUGGCCUAACACUGACGCUGAGGUACGAAAGCAUGGGGAGCAAACAGG
rnacentral:rRNA from 1 species